rnacentral:lncRNA from 1 species
GUUUGAAUAAUCAUUCAACAUAGAUAUGGUUAAGUAAGCUGGCAACUAACUUCCCGUGCUCUUACAUGUAUAGAGCGCUGAAAUUGUCGCAGAGGAGCUUAAAGCUUUCAAGUUUCCCAGCCACGGUGAGCUUCGCAUUGAAACACAAGCAGAAUGUGAGGUUUUCAUGGAUAUUGCGUGAAAGUCGAGCAACUAAAACUGAAUCAAGUUGGUAAGGCAUGUUUGCUUCAGUGUUUUGUACUGGAUGACAGGAUGAGUGAGCGGAGGAACAGAUGGAGACCUUCAAAAUCUCCAUACGCAGUGUUGAACUGGUGUUCCCAUUGCUUUCCCUUCCGAGAGAAGUAGAAUUCAAAGGUUUGAAACAUGUGUACGUUGGCAUGGCUAUGCGCC